CCUGGUGGUCAUAGCCUGAUGGCCCCACCCGGUCCCAUUCCGAACCCGGAAGUGAAACAUCAGCACGUCGAUGGUAGUCGGACGACAGGUCCCGCGAGAGUAGAUAGCUGCCAGGG
rnacentral:rRNA from 2 species